GUUAGAAUGGCCGAGGGGUCUAAGGCGCCAGACUCAAGUUCUGGUCCCCUGAUGGAGGCGUGGGUUAAAAUCCCACUUCUGACA
rnacentral:tRNA from 1 species